rnacentral:rRNA from 1 species
UACAGAGGUCCCAAGCGUUGUUCGGAUUCACUGGGCGUAAAGGGUGCGUAGGCGGUCGGGUAAGUCUGACGUGAAAUCUUCAAGCUCAACUUGGAAACUGCGUCGGAUACUAUUCGGCUAGAGGAAUGGAGGGGAGACUGGAAUACUUGGUGUAGCAGUGAAAUGCGUAGAUAUCAAGUGGAACACCAGUGGCGAAGGCGGCUCACUGGCCCGGUACUGACGCUGAGGCGCGAAAGCGUGGGGAGCGAACAGG